rnacentral:misc_RNA from 1 species
CAAGAAUGGAGGCUGGCGCUGCCCACUGCAUGGGUCGCGUCCAGUCCCGCUCUCUACCUUGCCUACUGCACCGUUUGUUGCUUCCUGGCGGUGGCAUCCCGCCGCCAGGUUCUUUCAAAAGCCAAGUAUAAGCAUUGAAACUCCUGACUUGCACUAAAUCGUA